AAACAUUGGAAAGAAAAGAAAAUUUUCAUUUCAAACAAAUUCCAUUUAUUGCAGACAAGGGCUCCUCCUAGCUUCUUACAUGUUGGACUGCUGAGUGAUGCAUCAUCUUGACAGCAGAACACAGAGGCAGUGCACUUUGUUAAUUAUGGACAGGUCGAGGUGCAUUGCCUGCUCACUGUCGUCUACAAAGCACUUGUUUAAUGGCACGUAGCUGUUAAGGAAUGUUGAGCUGCUUCUUUUAAGAGACAGGAACACUUGAACACUGUUAUCUCGUAUUCAUUUGGAGCUCUUGGUGAAAGAAAAACUGAAACACUCGGUCAUCAUCAAUUUCAAACGUUUCAUUCUUCUAUUCCUUUA